CACAUGCAAGUCGAGGGGAAACGACAUCGAAAGCUUGCUUUUGAUGGGCGUCGACCGGCGCACGGGUGAGUAACGCGUAUCCAACCUGCCCACCACUUGGGGAUAACCUUGCGAAAGUAAGACUAAUACCCAAUGACGUCUCUAGAAGACAUCUGAAGGAGAUUAAAGAUUUAUCGGUGAUGGAUGGGGAUGCGUCUGAUUAGCUUGUUGGCGGGGUAACGGCCCACCAAGGCAACGAUCAGUAGGGGUUCUGAGAGGAAGGUCCCCCACAUUGGAACUGAGACACGGUCCAAACUCCUACGGGAGGCAGCAGUGAGGAAUAUUGGUCAAUGGACGAGAGUCUGAACCAGCCAAGUAGCGUGCAGGAUGACGGCCCUAUGGGUUGUAAACUGCUUUUAUAAGGGAAUAAAGUGAGUCUCGUGAGGCUUUUUGCAUGUACCUUAUGAAUAAGGACCGGCUAAUUCCGUGCCAGCAGCCGCGGUAAUACGGAAGGCCCGGGCGUUAUCCGGAUUUAUUGGGUUUAAAGGGAGCGUAGGCCGGAGAUUAAGCGUGUUGUGAAAUGUAGACGCUCAACGUCUGCACUGCAGCGCGAACUGGUUUCCUUGAGUACGCACAAAGUGGGCGGAAUUCGUGGUGUAGCGGUGAAAUGCUUAGAUAUCACGAAGAACUCCGAUUGCGAAGGCAGCUCACUGGAGCGCAACUGACGCUGAAGCUCGAAAGUGCGGGUAUCGAACAGGAUUAGAUACCCUGGUAGUCCGCACGGUAAACGAUGGAUGCCCGCUGUUGGUCUGAAUAGGUCAGCGGCCAAGCGAAAGCAUUAAGCAUCCCACCUGGGGAGUACGCCGGCAACGGUGAAACUCAAAGGAAUUGACGG
rnacentral:rRNA from 1 species